rnacentral:rRNA from 1 species
UACGAAGGGAGCUAGCGUUGUUCGGAAUCACUGGGCGUAAAGCGCACGUAGGCGGAUGUGUCAGUCAGGGGUGAAAUCCCGGAGCUCAACUUCGGAACUGCCUUUGAUACAGCACGUCUUGAGUCCGAUAGAGGUGGGUGGAAUUCCUAGUGUAGAGGUGAAAUUCGUAGAUAUUAGGAAGAACACCGGUGGCGAAGGCGGCUCACUGGCCCGGUACUGACGCUGAGGCGCGAAAGCGUGGGGAGCAAACAGG